AAAAUAUUGCACCUUUUUGAUCUUUCACAGAAAGAAACAUGGUAAGAAAGAAGCUGUGAAGGCUCUUGCUAACAGCAAUGGUGUGGAUGUUGAUGCGACUCGGAGGGAAUCGCAGCAGUUGGUGCAACUUGCGGAACAAGAAGAACAGGAGCUGAGGAUACUCGGGGUGUUUUAGUAAGGCUUAUGGCAACUGAUGUGGCGUUGAAGGAACAUUUGCUGCAUGGUUCCAAGGUUGAGGAAAAAGAGACAUUUAAGGUUUAAGUGGGUGACUAUUAAUCUGCAUGAAUAAUCAGUAUUCUGGUGUUGUCUUUUCCUUCACCAGUUGAAUGUUGUUUUGUGUUUUAAUGUAAUCGUGUUAUCUACCUGUGAUGAUGUAAAGUGGGUGAUGUGCAUGUUAUCUUGCCUACUUGAUGUUGUUUGAUC